UACGGGGGGAGCAAGCGUUGUUCGGAUUUACUGGGCGUAAAGGGCGCGUAGGCGGCCACCGCAAGUCAAUUGUGAAAUCUCCGGGCUUAACUCGGAAAGGUCAACUGAUACUGCCGUGCUUGAGGACUGGAGAGGAGACUGGAAUUACGGUGUAGCGGUGAAAUGCGUAGAUAUCGUAAGGAAGACCAGUGGCGAAGGCGGGUCUCUGGACAGUUCCUGACGCUGAGGCACGAAGGUCAGGGGAGCAAACGGG
rnacentral:rRNA from 1 species